CCCCCCCCCCCCAAGCCUAAACCUGUGAUGAAGCCCUGCACUCAGAAGAAGAGGAUGUGCUGGUUCUUGCUACCUGUGAAAUGGUCAAGAUUAGAAUACUGGGAAAAGUAAAGUCAAGACUGAAGAACAUUGGAAACAUGUCUACAAAUACCAUGGUUACAGAAGUGGCUUGCUGAAGAUAACACAGGACAUGUUUGGUGGAGCCCCGAAGAAAAUCAGUAUACUCUAGUUCUCCAUUCCUAGCUUAUCCAUUUCCUUCUAACCCUAAAUUAUUGGCCUAUUUAAAAAACA
rnacentral:lncRNA from 1 species